GGAAUUACUGGGCGUAAAGCGCGCGUAGGCGGUUUGUCAAGUUGGAUGUGAAAUCCCUGGGCUCAACCUAGGAACUGCAUUCAAAACUUAUAGACUAGAGUACGAUAGAGGAGAGUAGAAUUCCUGGUGUAGCGGUGAAAUGCGUAGAUAUCAGGAGGAAUACCAAUGGCGAAGGCAACUCUCUGGAUCGACACUGACGCUGAGGUGCGAAAGCGUGGGUAGCAAACAGGAUUAGAUACCCUGGUAGUCCACGCCGUAAACGAUGAGAACUAGCCGUUGGAUCUUAGAUUCAGUGGUACAGCUAACGCAUUAAGUUCUCCGCCUGGGGAGUACGGCCGCAAGGCUAAAACUCAAAUGAAUUGACGGGGGCCCGCACAAGCGGUGGAGCAUGUGGUUUAAUUCGAUGCAACGCGAAAAACCUUACCAACCCUUGACAUCUAGUGAAAUUUCUAGAGAUAGAUUUGUGCCUUCGGGAACACUAUGACAGGUGUUGCAUGGCU
rnacentral:rRNA from 1 species